rnacentral:rRNA from 1 species
GACGAACGCUGGCGGCGUGCUUAACACAUGCAAGUCGAGCGGUAAGGCCCUUCGGGGUACACGAGCGGCGAACGGGUGAGUAACACGUGGGUGACCUGCCCCCUACUCUGGGAUAAGCCUGGGAAACUGGGUCUAAUACCGGAUAUGACUACUUGUUGCAUGACGGGUGGUGGAAAGUGGUGUUCUUGAUUGGACACUGUCGGUGGGGGAUGGGCCCGCGGCCUAUCAGCUUGUUGGUGGGGUGAUGGCCUACCAAGGCGACGACGGGUAGCCGGCCUGAGAGGGCGACCGGCCACACUGGGACUGAGACACGGCCCAGACUCCUACGGGAGGCAGCAGUGGGGAAUAUUGCGCAAUGGGCGGAAGCCUGACGCAGCGACGCCGCGUGGGGGAUGACGGCCUUCGGGUUGUAAACCUCUUUCGGCCCCGACGAAGCGUGAGUGACGGUAGGGGUAGAAGAAGCACCGGCCAACUACGUGCCAGCAGCCGCCGUAAAAC